GACAGAGGGGGCAAGCGUUGCUCGGAAUUACUGGGCGUAAAGGGCGCGUAGGCGGGAUGGCAAGUCGGUCGUGAAAUCCUUCGGCUCAACCGAAGAACGUCGAUCGAUACUGCUGUUCUUGAGGGUUGCAGAGGAGACUGGAAUUCCCGGUGUAGCGGUGAAAUGUGUAGAGAUCGGGAAGAACACCGGUGGCGAAGGCGGCCCACUGGUCCGGUACUGACGCUGAGGCGCGAAAGCGUGGGGAGCAAACAGG
rnacentral:rRNA from 1 species